AGUUGAUUUCUUUGACUAGAGAAACAAUAGAAGCUGGAGCUCUUGUGGAAGAAGAUAACCCUCAAUCUCAAAGAAGGUGGUCUUUGGUUUUGCAGCUCAGUUUUUCUCUUGCUGUCGAUCUGCUUGAGAAGGGAUUGGUGUCCUGCUACUUGUCUCCAGCAGCUGCCUCGUAUCUGCUACCUUAUGGAUGCCUUCCAACUCGGGAUAUCCUAUGAGUCUUCCUUCAUUGUCCUUCUACUGAACCUGGGACCUCCACAGUGAGCAGCUAAAGGUAUUCUGGGUCUACACCGGUGAGAAGAGAGAAGCUCUCUGCGAGGCCUGGAAGUAUGACACAUGCUUAUGAGCAGACUCUAGGCACAUACAAUGUACUCAUUAAUUCCCCGCUAGAAUCUCUACGUGUCUAAGGCACUGGACAUAAAUUAGUAUCAUCAGUUCAAACACCUUGAAAAUUGGAAAUAAAUUAUGCCAGACACUGGAGACAGAUGGCAUCCAUACACCAGGCAGAGCCAGAAAGCCCAGCGCUUCGGACAUCUGUAGAUGAAUUCCCUGAAGCACCUGGAGCUGCAGAGAGGAGAGGAGAAAGUGAUUUGUGCCUGAGAAUGGAUGGGUUUCUUUGGAAGUAUCACUUCAGCUUCAUCCGAGCAGCAAAGAGAGAAACUCGUUCACUAACCCACUGUUCUGCUGUGUCCUCCUAUAGGGAUAUAAAUACGGCUGAAAAAUGUCUGCCUUGUUUAUUACUUUGAAGUCAAACGUGCACCGGCUAUUUUCAGAAACAUGGGAGAAGUAAUGCCUUCUGGCUGGCUUUGAGUUGCCAGGUCGUCUGAAUAAUUUCCCUUUCCCUGUCCCUCUGCUUUUAUAUACACAUGGAAAGGCAGACACGGAUAUUUUAAUGUAUGUAUUAAAACUAGACCAAAAGUUAGCAUGCUGUUUGGAGAUGUGUGGCAUAGAAAUAAAUCGCAGAGGAGAGCAAGGAAGGAAUGUGUGCUGCUCCCUGGCAGCCUCGGCUCGUUUGGGGCUGCACAGCAGAGCAAGGCACAGCUCCUGCCCCACAGCCUCCGUACGAAUAUGUCGAGCUCUUUUGUUUCCCACGUGUAGGGUCACCGUUAUGUGCUUUCUCACCUAUGUGACUGCAUCAAACAAACAAGAAAUGCCCUUCAAAAGCCGAUCCAGG
rnacentral:lncRNA from 7 species